rnacentral:tRNA from 1 species
GGGGAUAUGGCGGAAUCGGUAGACGCUACGGACUUAAAAUCCGUUGGUUUUAUAUAUCGUGAGGGUUCGAGUCCCUCUAUCCCCA